rnacentral:lncRNA from 1 species
CUUUAUUGUCGAUCAGGAGAGUGAUCUAGCCUUCCCUCAGCCCCCUAACUUCUUCAAGAUCCUGUAUAGAAAUACACAAAUGAGUACUUGAAUCAGAAUCUAGAAUCCAACUAGAAAAAGAGAAAAUCGUUAGAUUAGUUUCAAUUAUGAGUAAGUCAGACAUACUUUCAGAAGGCCCAUCCUUCUUCUUGUUCUUCACAGUCGUCAAGU